rnacentral:snRNA from 1 species
GUACUUACCUGGCAGGGGAGAUACCAUGAUCAUGAAGUUGGUUUUUCCAGCAUAAGGCUUAUCCAUUGCACUACGGCUGCGCUGACCUCUGCAAGUUCCCCCAAAUGUGGAAAACCCAACUGCAUAAAUUGUGCGUAGUGGGAGGCUGUGUUCACACUCUUCCCUA